rnacentral:rRNA from 1 species
AGGAUGGGCCCGCGGCCUAUCAGCUUGUUGGUGGGGUAAUGGCCUACCAAGGCGACGACGGGUAGCCGGCCUGAGAGGGCGACCGGCCACACUAGGACUGAGACACGGCCCAGACUCCUACGGGAGGCAGCAGUGGGGAAUAUUGCGCAAUGGGCGAAAGCCUGACGCAGCGACGCCGCGUGAGGGAUGAAGGCCUUCGGGUUGUAAACCUCUUUCAGCAGGGACGAAGCGAAAGUGACUGUACCUGCAGAAGAAGCACCGGCUAACUACGUGCCAGCAGCCGCGGUAAUACGUAGGGUGCGAGCGUUGUCCGGAAUUAUUGGGCGUAAAGAGCUCGUAGGCGGUCUGUCACGUCGGAUGUGAAAACUCGGGGCUCAACCCCGAGCCUGCAUUCGAUACGGGUAGACUAGAGUUCGGUAGGGGAGACUGGAAUUCCUGGUGUAGCGGUGAAAUGCGCAGAUAUCAGGAGGAACACCGGUGGCGAAGGCGGGUUUCUGGGCCGAUACUGACGCUGAGGAGCGAAAGCGUGGGGAGCGAACAGGAUUAGAUACCCUGGUAGUCCACGCCGUAAACGUUGGGCGCUAGGUGUGGGGGACUUUCCACGUCCUCUGUGCCGCAGCUAACGCAUUAAGCGCUCCGCCUGGGGAGUACGGCCG